ACGAAGGUGGCAAGCGUUGUUCGGAUUCACUGGGCAUAAAGGGCGUGUAGGCGGUAUGGCAAGCGGCGUGUGAAAUCCCGGGGCUCAACCCCGGAACUGCAUGCCGAACUGCCGUACUAGAGGACAGGAGGGGGAUGUGGAACUCUAGGUGUAGCGGUGAAAUGCGUAGAUAUCUAGAGGAACGCCGGUGGCGAAAGCGACAUCCUGGCCUGUAUCUGACGCUGAGGCGCGAAAGCGUGGGUAGCAAACAGG
rnacentral:rRNA from 1 species